AGAGCGGGGAUGGAGGAAGCCGGCCGACACCUCUCGGCGGCGUCCUUGGCCUCCAGACUAAGCGCCGCCAAGUCUCUGCCCCGCCUGCUGCCCACCCAGCCCGCCCUUCACCAGCCUGGACCCCGGACAGCAACCUCGUGAGCUCGAAGAUGCUCCUUAGACCCCGGGAAAAGCCAAAACAGCACCUCGCUGCUCUCUCGGGACGCCCGGUGGGUGUGGCCGCGCUCUCCCCCGGGGCUCUGCCUCCCCUGCGCAGUAGCCCAGGGGACGGCGACACAGAGGAGCCCCAAGGAUGGGCUGCUGAGCCCGCUCAGCUUCAAGACCACACCCCUCCCCCAGCCACGUGGCCAACCCGGGGUGACUGCCUCCGACAUUCGGGAGCUGCACCUGGGGACUUGAGCGCGAACCUUCGUUUUCUAAUUUUUUUUUUUUUUAAGAGCGCGUUUGAGUGCCCGCCUGCUGUGUGUCUGCGCACUGCGUGGGUGCGGUGGCCCGCAGAGGCCGGAAGAGGGCGUCGGAUCUCCCAGGACUGGAGCUACCUCUGCAGAAAAGACAAAACUGACACAGGAACCUCCUCUUGAGCAGGGGUCCUGUCUCAGUGACGGGAAACUUCCCCUUAACCAGCCUCCCAGGGGAGCCACAAGCUGCUCACAUGAAUUCGGUCAACAGCGCCAUGUGGAUAGCAACCGUCCUGCUCACUGAUGCCAGCUGGUUUUGCAUCUAGUGGGCAAGAACUGCACCCUGUGUGGAGGAGGGCGCACGGAGGUGUUCAUGCAAUCCAGCCUGGCCUCAAACUUGCUGUGUAGCUGAAGAUGUCCUUAAAUUCCUAAUCCUCAGCCAGGUGGUAGUGGUGCUCACGCCUUUAGUCCCAGCACUCGGGAGGCAGAAGCAGUUGGAUCUCUGCGAGUUUGAGACCAGCCUGGUCUACAAGAACUAGUUCCAGGACAGCCUCCAAAGCUACACAGAGAAACCCUGUCUUGAAAAACAAAAAACAAAAACUUUCUAACCCUCUAGUCUCCAUCUCCCAGGGGCACAUCAUCAUGCCUGGCUGGCCCUGGGAGUUUAGUAUCCGACUGUGUUCUAGUCAGGACAGUUAAGCAAGAAACACAUAGAGUGAGGUAUAGAUUGAAAAAGUAAACUUGGGCUGCUGUCCCCAUCUGCAAGCUUUGGGACCGACCUGACUGGGGUGAAAAGAAAGAAAAGGCUGGGGGUCAGGGGGGCCUCGUGUUCGGAUGAAGAUGCAACAGCAGCCCAAAACUCCUGUUUAUAUACAGCUCAUUGAGGAGGUGGGCUCAUUAUGUACAGCUGGUCUACUGUAUGCAGGCUGUCUCAGUAGGGCUCUCCACAGAGGAGCCAUCUCAGGCUGCAAUCAGUGGGAGAAGAAGGCUGUGUGGUUGACACUUUCUGCACAACUGUCAACACCUGGGCUUUAGCCAGGGGAAGACUGCCAUUCCCAUGGGUCCAAGGCCCUGGUGUCCUUUAUAUGGAUAUGCUCAUGUCAUUAGCACACAUUCACUCAGGACUUCACCCACUCCCCACAGGCUGUGGUGGUAUGGUGUGGCUCAUUUGGCAGAGUGCCAGUCUACCAUGCACAGAGCCCCGAGUUUGACCCACAGCACUGAAUAAAUAGGAUAGAGGCACUCGUCUGCAAUCCCGAAACUUGAGGAGUGGAGUCAGGGGGAUCAGAAGUUCGAGGUCAUCCUUGGCUAUUCAGUAAGGUAAAAACCAGUGUGGGAGCUAGAGAGAUGUCCUAGUGGUUGAGAGCACUGACUGCCCUUCCAGCCCCAGGUUCAAUUCCCAGCAGCUCACGACUGUCCUGUAACUCCAAUUCUAGAGGACCCAACACCCUCACACAGACAUACAUGCAGGCAAAACACCAAUGCACAUGAAAAAACAAAACAAACAAAAAACACUCCAAUCUGAGCUACAGACCCUGUUUCUGAAAGAAAGAACAGAAGGAAAGGGGGGAAGGAAGAAAGGAAGGAAGGAAGGAAGGAAGGAAGGAAGGAAGGAGAGAAGAUAGGUUGUCUUUUCUCAGAUGUAUGAUAUACUGUGCACCAAACUCGAACAAGCAUCAGAGCAAAAACACCCAGCAAGACUUUAGGACACAAACUCACUAACUAGCAGUUGUGUUUCUGUGUGCCUGAAUUGAAC
ensembl:lncRNA